AAUGUCAUCUAGGUUUGAUUUUAAAAUGCAAUGCUUUUUUUAAAUCUUUCAGCUCCAGAACUUGCCAGUCAAGAUGAAAAACUUCUUCUAAUGGAAUCCAGCUUGAAAGGAACUCAAGAGCAGCUAAGUGAGCAAAUAACAGAAACAGUUCGCCAAGAACAGAACAGUAGAAAAUCACAGACAGAGCUGAAGACCCUGAGAGAACGUAUUAUAGCUUCUGAAGAAGGAAUUAGGGAUUACAAAGACAUGCUUAAAAAACUUCCAUUACAAUUAACAGCAUCAAAGACAGCUCAACAGCAAAAGCUUCAUGGAGCUCUCAACAGGCAGCAGUUAGAACCAGUAUCAGCCAUUGAACAAGUAAACAGUCUGAAACAACAGGUUGAGUUUUAUGAUGAAACAUUAGCAAAGCUGCAGAAGGAGCUGAAGCAAUCAAAAGAACAGCUCAUACAAUGUACUAAAAAUCUGUAUUCUACAGAACAGAAUAUUCAGGCUUUAAACAUGGAAAUAAGUUUAUAG
rnacentral:lncRNA from 1 species